ensembl:lncRNA
CCUAAAUCCUGUCUAAAUAAGUAGUGAGAAGGAAAAAGAUGCCAGAGUUUAACAUUGGACCCCGUUUGUGGGAAAAAGGGUUGUCGGUUGUAAAACAUACGAGCGCUGCCCGGGCACGAGGGUGGCCGCCGAGAGGAAGGAGAAGGCACCAGCGCUGCAGUGCAGUGAAGAAGAAAAAAAAAAAAAGACGCUGGUGGACCUACACCCCUCCCCUCCCUCCUGGAUGUGGAACUACAAGUGCUCCCCUCAUUCUUUAUGUGUUUCAGUAGGGCGGCACACACCCCGAGCACUGUAGGCUAAUCUCGAGCGCGACACUAGUACAGCUGCACGGACCCCCCCCCCCCCCCCCCUGCAUGUGUGUGUGGACAAACGAGAACCCAUUCAAGUCAAACAGCCUCGGUCGCUAUAAAAACCCCUGGACAGUAGGCUGAUGGGAUUAUUGUGGGGGGGCCGGCGCGAUAGAAGUUACAUUAGCACAUGGGCCCCAUGUGUUCUGGGGGACUGCAAUACCUCCUGUGUUUCUAGGGCAUGGCAGGGAUCGUCCAGUAAGGAAGUACGACUUUAAAAACGACAAAAGCAAAAAAAACAGAAUCUGCAGCUGUUGGCUUUUUUUUUUUUCUUUUAACACGCCGGUGUCUGGAAGCCCUGGAUGACCUAGCUACUAGCUGCCGGUUUAGAAGGGUUAGCGGGUGGUCGUUCCUUCUGAUGCGUGAGCCUCAAUACAAGGCUGGAUACAGCUGCAGAGUCCCGUCAGGAAGCCCUUUUGCAUUUGUUUGAUUCACUUUUGCUUCUGCGUCAUGGCUUGUCUCGCUCGGCGGGCUGGUUCUCAGGUCGUUUGAGUGACGGGUGUCAGCAACACGGAAAACACUUUUGGAGGCGGUUACUAUGAAUUCACAGUAAGCACAGAAAAAUAACAAAUACAAACGGAAAUGGAGGCAACUGCCCUUUAAGGUGUUGCUCAAUUACGUUGUUUAAAGUACAAAUGUCAAAGGAAAUGAUACGCCAUUUAGUGCAUAAAACUUGGCCAUGGAGCUCUAUACCGGAGUCAUAACGGAGUCAUUUCAGAGUGCCAUACAGCUUUGCUGCUCAAGUGGGGGUGGAAGACCAAAACAUAAAAAAGGAACUCAACUGUAUGAGCCGUGAUUUUCCUUUUUCUCUGGUUUUUGUUUUUCUUUAGAGGGGCUAGGCGUCGCAGUGCAUCAGUCUAACUAUAUCCCCUUUUUACUAGUCUAAGUGGGCGGGGCACUCGCCUCCACCGAGCCCCCUAUUGGACAAGUCAAUCAAUGGAUGUGACAUCACAAAAGCCCUAUCUAAAAUCCUAUUAUUUAAAAAAAAUACGCCUUGCAUACAGCCUGACAUGUCAAUAGUCACAAAAAAUAUUAUAAAGAACACUAAACAGCCCGAUCUUGUUGUAACAGAGAAGAGGGUCUGAGCGAGAGUACUGGCGGACAUGGAUGGAUAUUACGGAUAACUUCACUACGUUCCGCGGGUCAAGGAUUGGUGGAACAGGCAAAAAAAACAGACUUCUUAAAAAGCCAUAAGAACGAGUUUGACGGUGGAAAGAAAGCCCAAAACACAACCCAUGGAUGGGACCUCGUUCACAUCUACUCUGAACCACAUUGAGAAAUAAGAGAGAUCUAUCAUCAGGCACAACAAAGGACAUAAAUGGAGCUGGGACACAUUCUUCAGUGCCAAUAUGACGUUCUCUAAAGGGGACUUAUGUCAUAUUGCCGUAUACAUGGUAAAAAUGGGGACGCGUACAAAAUAAAGUGGCAUUCAUUUAAGUUAAUUACGGUAACGCUUAACAUUAACGUUCAGUCAUUAAGUUAUCUACAAGCCUUAAGUUAAUGCCAAACGUAUCAUGAUCAAAACAUUAAUAUCAAUUAGAUGGUUACUAAUUGCUAUGUUUAAAGAUAAUGUUGACUAGCCCUUAUAAGCCGUAUCAAAAUCAACCCUUUAGUGACAUCACAAGUGGGAGUGUCCUCAGAGGUGAUGUCAGCCUACAAGUUGGUGCAGUAAACCGCUUAGGCUGUUGGGCGGAUCUAUCCAUAGCACCCAUCAACAAAUCAAUAGGAAUGCUUUGUUAAAGGCUUAUAAAUGAUUUAUGACUGAACGUUCUAUAAAGUGUUAGCUAAUUCUGUUUUGAGAAUGAGUAAAUUCAUUCAGAGUCAACAAUGCAUCAUUUGAGGGUUUUUGUGCUGAUUAAGAGGGGGAGUUUCUGUCGGGUUUAAAAGGGUUCUGUCGCUGCGUGGGUCGAGUUAGUGCCCGACUACAUGCAAGCUUUCUAAAACAAGCUCUGAGGAACCACAUCCCAUAAUGAAACAAACACUAUGGACAAGAGCGCAGCAGCGAGCCAGAGAGGAAAAUAUUGAGUCUUUUGUUUCAAAGAAGCUUCCCAUUCAGGAGCACGAAGGGGGGGAGGGGGGAAGACUAGAAAAAGUGUUGACAGCUUCCUCAUAAAAUAUCUUGCGUAUAAAAAGUGUCAAAAUAAAGGCUGUGAGAAGCAGGCAAAAUAGAGAUCUUAAGAAGCGGGCAUGAGGAGACGUAGGGACGAGGAGCAGACGGCAGCGACCCUGAACUAUGGCAGCGCUGCAGGGACUGCUCACAAAUGAAGGCCUGAAGAAAGAUAAGACACUGGUUUCCUCCCACCUGUUCCCACUGGGAGGCGGUCCGAGGCCUGGCUGGCCGCCACCACACAGACCGCCCGCAGCUCGCCUCACGCAGACAAAAUAAGUCUCUUUAAAAUUAUUAUUAUUAUUAUUGUAGUCGUUAUUAUUAUUCAUCUUGACAAAGAGUUAUCAGCAAUAAAUCAAAUCCUUAUAUUAUGGUUGUCUAUGAAUGCAGUUGUCCAUCCUGGUCCAUCCUAUGUGUGCGAAGAUCCUUAAGAGUGACUCCUCCUCCUCCUUGCUCCUCCUGCAGUUUGUCCAUUUUUUUGUAUUUUUUUAAGAUAGUAAGACAACUUCAGUUUUGCUCCCACCCCCUACAGUAGCCCUACCCUCCC